rnacentral:misc_RNA from 1 species
UAAUAUAUAUAAAUCACGAAAUUGAUACAUAGCAAUAGAAACAAAGAUUGAUAAUUGCUUCAAUCAAAUUACAUUGAAAUAUCCAUCUCUCUCUUGGUGCGUGCAUUUUAUGUCACACAUUUCGCUGCAUGGAAAUAUAUGGAUUCAAAAAUUCGAAAGUCAUUCUAGAAAGCAUACGUCACAGAUAUCACGUCGAGCAACGCUCUCUGCGAUAAUUUUGAUUGGCCAACGGAACACGGUUCAACAUGGAGUACGUUGAUACAGUAAAGAACGACGACAAUGAUAGUUGUUGCAACUCGUCCACGUGUUCGGAAGUCGCGUCGAAUCCAAAAUCUAUGGAAAAUUUGGGAACAGAUACAAAGGAACUUACAAUGGAGCAGGAAAACAACAUUGACAAAUCACAGGAUACAACGGCUUUGCAAGAACCAUCUACGGAGAAUAUAAGUUUCACAGUGAUUUACAACAAACGCAAGAUUAGCGUGAAUUUUGCUUUGGAUGGUACAGUCGCUGAAUUAAAGACGCAUUUGCAGAAAAUUAUCUCAGUGCCGCAGGCAAUGCAGAAAGUUAUGUUUAAAGGAUUAGCCAAAGAUGAUCAGACUCUUAGGAAUUUGGGAAUAACGAAAGGUGCCAAAGUUAUGAUAGUUGGAUCCAAGUUAGACGAUGUAUUAGCUGUGUCAAUCCCAACAAAACAAGAUCUCAUUGAUGAAGCUGUUUCUUCAGUGAGCAAAGAACCUCUUUCACAACAGAAAGUGCAUAGGAAAGUUUUAGAUAAAGGUAUUCCAGAGGACGUGAUGCCAGGAAUACUAGAUAGUAAGGAACCUUUGCCUGAAUUUCCAUUAGCUGGAAUGUUAAACAAAUCUGGAGGGAAAGUUAGAUUAACAUUUAAAUUGGAGCAAGAUCAACUUUGGAUCGGUACAAAAGAAAGAACAGACAAAAUACCUAUGAAUUCAAUAAAGGGUGUUCACAGUGAACCUAUUCACGAUCAUCCCGAGUAUCAUAUUAUGGCAAUACAAUUGGGCACUACGGAAGCAUCAAGAUAUUGGAUAUAUUGGGUCCCUGCACAGUACAUAUCUGCUAUCAAAGACGCUAUUCUUGGCAAGUGGUGUUACUUCUGAUUGAUUCGCUGGAAAUUUCAGUUUCUGUGAAAGCAAAAUUAAAUCAAGUGUAAACAUUGAUACAAAUACUGCUGUUCCAUCGACACAAAAACUGUCAGCUAGUCACACACAUUUUUAACACCAAGAUUUAAGUGUACUCUGAAUUUUCUACACAGCUGAAUGUAAGUUAGACAGUCUUUUACACAAGAACUGUGAUUAGUGGAACUUCCAUAAUAAUGUGUUGUGAUAAUAUUAUAUGCGUCUUUGAAUUUAUGAUUAAAUUUUUUGUUUUUAUUUUAUCGAAGUGUCGUAUUUAUAGAU